rnacentral:rRNA from 1 species
CGGCGAGUGAAGCGGCAACAGCUCAAAUUUGAAAUCUGGCCUCGGCCCGAGUUGUAAUUUGCAGAGGAUGCUUCUGGCGCGGUGCCUUCCGAGUUCCCUGGAACGGGACGCCACAGAGGGUGAGAGCCCCGUAUGGUCGGACACCAAGCCUGUGUGAAGCUCCUUCGACGAGUCGAGUAGUUUGGGAAUGCUGCUCUAAAUGGGAGGUAAAUCUCUUCUAAAGCUAAAUACCGGCCAGAGACCGAUAGCGCACAAGUAGAGUGAUCGAAAGAUGAAAAGCACCUUGAAAAGGGGGUUAAAUAGUACGUGAAAUUGUUGAAAGGGAAGCACUUAUGACCAGACUUGGGCCGGGCGGCUCAUCAGGGGUUCUCCCCUGUGCACUCCGCCCGGCACAGGCCAGCAUCGGUUCUCGUGGGGGGAUAAGACCGUCAGGAACGUAGCACCCUCGGGGUGUGUUAUAGCCUGGCGGACGAUACCCCCGUGGGGACCGAGGUCCGCGCUCCGCAAGGAUGCUGGCGUAAUGGU